GGGGCGGGACUCUGUGACUUUUGUUGUCGCAGAGCCUGGGGACCUACCAUUUUGUUCUCAGACCAGUGGCAGUGGUGCUGCACCCGAUUUCCGUGGGUGUAGACAGACUGGACCCUGAUUUCUGCUGGUGAACGCUAUCGGAUUUUGAUUUCCCCCAGUGUAGAUAGAUUCACACCUGACACGCAACGGUGUAGACAGACUAGUGAAGAUAACCGGACCCUGAUUUCCACUGGUGUAGGUGGAGCGGACCGAUUUCCGCCGGUGUGUAAGGACCGGCCUUCUCUUCCCGCCAAGCGAGCUCCCUGGCGUAUGGGACGCUCUCUGCCGGGUAAACAGAACUCGUGAGCCUCUGGGCCUGAGCGAGCGGCCACCUUCCCCUCCUUGGGGAGUCGGGCGCGCGGACAGUUGAACAGGCUCUCACUGGCUCUGCAAAUGGAAUGCCUGGGUUUAUGGAGAACCUACAGAAACAAAGUACCCCCACCUCCAGCCCCACCCCGGGGAGACAGACGCCUUCCCUGUCGCUAGGCGACUGUAGGGCUCUGGCUCGUGGAGCACUUGCUGUGUGCUGGGGCUGCAGCCGGGUUCUCAGAGGAACCCGUCCCCGGUGGGGGGAGGGGGUGUCUCCCCGCCCCUCAGGUGUCUCGUCCUGUACUGUGUCCCGACUAGAAACAGGGGCGCUGACUCAGUCCGCCCACUGCGGACAGACGCCCUCAUUUAGAGAGAAAGUUCAGUUGUGCUGGAGCUGCGUGGCUUCCGGUACAGGGUGAAAGAAGCCAAGGGUGGCGGGAUGAGCUCUGCUCCCUCACCCAGUACCGGUGUUUUGAAUCCCUCUGGUGGCUCCUUGCCUCCCUCCUCUGCUCCGCUUCCUGGAACCUCCAGCCCCUCCCACUGGCCCAAGCAGACUCAGUCCCCUCUCAGUGCUGGGGUGUUACUCAUUGUCUGCACCUCCUUGAGGCCCCCUGCCUCAUCCUCUUCUCACCCCUUACCUGCCCAUGACGCUCCAGAAACAGGAGCCACAUAAACCUCCGCGUAAACAGGCGCUGCAUAAAUCUCUGUGGUCCCAGAGCACCUGCCAGGCCAGAGCUGGGGUAUGUUGGCAUGCUUCCAGAGCAGGUGACAUUGUCCCCGUUCAGCCCCUCCAGGAUCCAGGAGCUGACGUCAGGGGAGGACAACAGUGACCUGGAUGCCUGGGUAGGGUGCAGCUCUGAAAGCUCACUCUUGCCGGAGAUUUGGGGGCCCAUAGGGGUUGUGCCUCUAUUGUACCUAGGCAAAGCUGGGCCUGCACUGGGAAAGCCCAGGAGUCCUCAUGUGCUGUCUCCAGCCGCAAUUUCUAAGGAUCUGAUUCUUUCUUUGCUGUGUAUCUGUAGAGUCAGGGAUGUCUUCUAAGAAGUUUUCCCCAAAACUUGGACUAUUGAAAUGGCUCAGUUUAUUCAGAAGGUGUUUAUUGGUCACUGGCUUUUGGCCAGUCACUGCAUGGCACCUGUCAGGCCCCUUGGGGAUCUGACAUUCCAAUGGAGAGAGACAAUAAACCAAUGAACAGAGAAAUACCUCUGAAUAAGGCAGAUGGUCAAGCCAGAGAAGACUGUUCAGGGACCAGAAGAAAGGGGGGGAGGGAGCUGCUCAUGAUUUCCAGGCAGAAGGAGCCACCUGUGUAAAGGCCCUGAGGCGGAAAUAGAUCUGGUGUGCUUGAGGGACAGCAGGAAAGCCGGUGUACCCAGGAGCACGGUGAAUGAGGGCACGCACGUGCGAAGGAGACAAGGCUGGAAAGGCUGAAGGGAUAAGUAAGUCAUAGUGAUGAGUUUUGUUUUAUUCUGAGUGUUGUGGGAAACCACCGUGGAGAGAGUUUGGAGAGGAAGCAACAUUAUCGGAUACAUUCCAAACAUCUCACCUGGCUGCAGUGUGGACACCACAGCUGCCUGAGGCAGGAAGAACAGUCAGGAAGCGACUGCCAGGACCUUGGUGAGAGCGAUGGGAGCUGGCUUAAGGUGUUUUGUUUGCUCACUGUUGGCGGAUGUGGCAGUGAAUUCACGUCAGCAAAUCGCCUCAAGGCUCACACAUGCGAGGGACACCUGCACCGGGCAGUGGAGUCACAAGUCCUCACCCAGCACCACAACGGCUCAGGGUCAGAGGCAUCCUAAGCGCAUCGACGUGAGAAUGGAAAAGCGAAUUGUGACCUGUGUGCAAAGAAAUACAGCACGUACAGUGAAUGAACACAGAGAAGCCUCAACAGCAAUGCUGAGUAAAACAGACAGCAAAUUACAAAAGGAUCGGAACGGCAUGGUGUCAUUUAGAUUAUAGCAAAGAAUAUGAUAGCAGGAAAUACGUCCGCAGUCACCAAACAUCACAGAGCAGCUCUGCCAAACGGAUGUGAGGGCCACUCAGGGACACAGCGGCACAAAGAUGAACUCUUCUUGGACCCAGAACAGGACUUUCCUUCUGAGCCCGCGUGCCCUCGACAAGGGGCUGGCUGCCGACCCUGUUCCCGGGUCACCAAGCACGCUGGCCGCUGGCUGUGAGGCGAGAGCAUUUGUCUCCCCGGCAGCCCUGAGGGGAAAUCCCCAUGUCCUGGUUACCUGAUUCUUCUUCUCCAGAAACACGUAAACAAUUGCUCACUGUGGAAAGUAGGAAAGCGAGCAUGAUCAACAAGUGCCUGUGUGAAGCAGCUGAAAGUUUUACUAAAGUACGACAAGAAAAGAGCUGCAUUUGUUUAAAAGUUUUGCUGCCGUGUUUACAUGUUUUUUCCUCAAA